UACGAAGGGGGCUAGCGUUGUUCGGAAUUACUGGGCGUAAAGCGUGCGCAGGCGGCUUCUCAAGUCAGGGGUGAAAGCCCAGAGCUCAACUCUGGAACUGCCUUUGAGACUGAGAGGCUUGAGUACGGGGAGAGGUGAGUGGAAUUCCCAGGUGAUUAGAGGUGAAAUUCGUAGAUAUUGGGAAGAACACCGGUGGGCGAAGGCGGCUCACUGGCCCGUAACUGACGCUCAUGCACGACAGCGUGGGGAUCAAACAGG
rnacentral:rRNA from 1 species